rnacentral:rRNA from 1 species
UACAGAGGUCCCGAGCGUUGUUCGGAAUUACUGGGCGUAAAGAGUGUGUAGGCGGUGCUCCAAGUCUGGUGUGAAAUCUCCCGGCUCAACUGGGAGGGUGCGCUAGAAACUGGAAUGCUAGAGGAUGGGAGAGGUAAGCGGAAUUCCUGGUGUAGCGGUGAAAUGCGUAGAUAUCAGGAGGAACACCUGUGGUGUAGACAGCUUACUGGACCAUUUCUGACGCUGAGACACGAAAGCGUGGGUAGCAAACAGG